AGUGGCCAGAAGAGGGUGUCAUAUUCUCUGGAACUGGAGAUACAGUGUGCUCUCUGCUUCCUGUUUAAAGUCUGAGAUGUGAGCUCUCAGCUGUCCCUGCCACUGAACUUCCCUCCACUGUCAUGGACUAGAACACUCUGAAACUAAUGCCUCAGGAUGUGGAGGUGACUGUUAGCCCCAAAUUAUAGAUGAGACUCAAAGGCACAGCCUUCUGUGUGGGACUAUGAUACCGGCUGACUGUCUCCAAAAUGUCUCCUCUUUGACACUCAUGGAUAAUGAGCAGCCUGCAUUAACUGCCUGCCUCAUGAUUUUUGCCCAGGCUUAGGGUGAGAAGCAGAGUGGGGGAAACAAUCAGAGAAGAAGGCAAAGAUUCAGCAGACACCUUUUUUUGCCCAGACUGGCUUCUGAUAAAUGGAGGUCUCUAAGCAAAGGUGUUUUGUUAAGCAAAAUUGCGUAAUGGACCCGGAAUAUGGGUAAAGCAACACCUCCCAACGCACUUCUAACCGAUGAAGCUGAAACCAGAUCUGCAGAGGUGAAAGAUGCAGGUAUUGCCCAGUGAUAAUGGACUUCCAGGUGGCCGGCCCACCUCUGUCUCUGCCUUUGGACGGUAAAGCUGGCCAAUCACUGCUUUCUGUAAUAGUUCAUGAGAUACAGUGUAGGCAAAUGUUACAUGCAAAUCACCUUCCCUUGGGCCUUUUUAUAAAGCCACCCACUGCAAAAUCAUUCACUUGAGAGCCUCAGAUGAGAAAGGUUCCGUGAAAUCUGAAGGUGAAAGUAUUCCACACGAUCCCUUUGUGGGGGCAGAUAACAUCCAUGUUUUUUGCCUUGUACAAAACUUAAGUCCAAAUGGAUCAAAGAUCUCAACAUAAAUCCAGCCACACUGAAACUUUUAGAAGAGAAAGUGGGAGAUACUCUUCAAUGAGU